rnacentral:lncRNA from 1 species
AUUCUGACAAUCAAACCUUGCCUGAUAAGCAGAGGGUAAUAACCUCAACAGUUUCCAUAUAGCCAGCCAAUCGCAAGGCUUCUUUUUUUAUGUGUGUGUGCUUGUGUGUGGGUGUUUGUGUGUGUUAGUCUGUGUCUGUAUGUGUAGUUUCAAAUGUCUUACUCCGCAACGGAUAAUCACAAUGAGCUGGAUGUAUAUCUUUCUACCCAUCGCCUGGGGUAAAAUAUGAACAUUUGAAUUUCUACUUAGCAGUAGGCCAGUUGCAUAAUAGGCCUAUUAUCUUGUUUAAAAAGAAACAUAAAUAUAGAUUCAUGUUCAUUGAUUCAACUCCAUUUUACCCAUGUGUCUUUCUUCAUUCUGACUCAUAAUCUAUGUUUUUAAUUCAAGGUGCUGUUGUGUCCUCUUACACCGUAGUGGAGCUGUACGUGAGACCAGGAGAAACCGUUACUGUACCUUGUGACUGUAAACUCUCAUCUGGUGAAACUAUUGUUUGGUACAGGAACUGUUCUCAUGAAAAUCAGCCCCCACUUAUUCUGACAAUGCAGGAAUUAGAGGAGAAUAAGGACUCCAAAUUAUCCAAUCUAAGUGGGAUGUGGAACCAUUCUUCAAAAACAUCCACUUUACUGAUUACGAACAUAUCUGAUACUCACCUUGGUCUCUACUACUGUCGAAUUGAAAAACAGUCUCGGAAAGAGCAAGACCAGAAUGAUACAAAGUAUAAACACAGAUGUGGAAAUGUUACCACAAGGAUUUCAUUUGAUAUAAGUGUAGGUCCUACACUGAAGGACAUUGGUUUUGGGGACUCUGCUGCUCCAGACUGUAGACAGUGCUGGAUGCUGCUGGUCAUCUUGUGUCCCUCCUCUGCUCUUCUCCUCUCCCUCCUCUCAUCCUUCGUCGUCUACCUCUGUUGCAGAAGGAAAGGUAUUGUAUAUAUCUCUGUUAACUGUCAUCUUCUGCAUCUUGAGAACACCUCAAGAUGCAGCUGUUCAAUUGACAGCAACUGCUCGUCUUCUGUUUGA